UUCCUGCGCACAGUAGGUCUUCAGGACGCCUUAGCGCUUGCAGUUCACUCCAACAGGCCCGCCCAGCCCCACGACAGCUGUAAAGCAGGGCUCCAAGGGAGCUUUCUGUUUGGUUUCUAAUUGUGGAACAGAGUCGUUACCCAGAACGUGACACAUGGACAAGGUAAAAGAACACUUUCUAACGGAUUCUAAGCCUGUUCAAGGUCACUUUCACAUGAAACGUGCACAGUUAACAUCAUUUAUACCUGGAAUUUUGUCUUCCACCCGCUAAGGCGAUGUUGGAUAAAACAGGCCUGAAGCAUGGUUCCCUGAGUGAGUGGAAGGCCUGCCCGCCUGUGAACCAGCCACAGGAAGAUAGUAGCCCCUGGCCGCCUGAAAUGUGGCCAGUCCAGAUUGAGGUCCCUGUAGGUGUCAAAUGUGCACUGGGUUUCUAAGAUACAGCGUGAAAAGAAUGUAAACGAUUUCAUUUUGUAUUGAUUAUGUAUUGAAAUGAGAAUGUUUUGGAAAAUUUGAAAUCACAUACGUGCUUCUCAUCCUUUUGUUGCUUGAGGCUGGUCUUACCAGCUAAAUCUUCCGGGUUGCCUUUUUAAAUACAGUCAUGCGUGACUUAAUGAUGGGGACCCGGUCUGAGAAAUGCAUCUUGUCGUCGAAUGCACUCACACAAACCUAGAUGGAAUAGCCGCACACCUAGGCCUUGUGGCAUAGGCUGUUGCUUUGGGCUCCAAACCUGUACAGCAUGUGACUCUACAACAUACAAUUAAAUCAAGCGCAAGAGAAAAUGAUGCAAUCAAGAGACAUAAACACAAGGCGUGUGACACAGCCGGGCCCCAGCCUGGCAUACAGCAGACGAUUUUUUCAUGAGUAGAGUGUACACUAACGAUAAAAAGUAUAUACAGCAAAUACAUAAACGAGUACCACUGCCAUUUAUUAUCAUUAUCAAGCAUUAUGUGCUAUACAUGUGUGUGCUACAUUUUCAUACGACAGAACAGUAGGUUUGUUGACAUCAGCAUCACCACAAACACUUGGGUAAUGCGUUUCACUGGUCAUCACGGUGGCUGCCGUGUCACUAGGCGGUAGGAAUUUUUAGCUCUAUUAUGUCUUAUAGGACCACUGUCUUACAUGCGGUCUGUCGUUGACCAAAACGUGGUGAUGCAGCAUGUGACUAUAAUCUGUCUUCUAGGAAAGAGGACCGAGUCCUUCAUCUUGUAAUUGUGAAGGAAGAGGCCAGGUUGCACGUCUCAGGUAGGCCUACGGGUGUGCUGUGCAUCACUUAAUUUUUAUGGAAAGGGGAAGAAAAAGACCAGAUAAAAGACUGACAUUUUCAGAAAGCAAGUUCCAGUUCAGGGAGCCCUAUGUAAGUCGCACGAACAUGACAGUAACUGCUGGUAAUAAAGAUACCAAGCUAUCUAGAAAUUUGAGUUAUGUUUAAUGAAUCUGGUUAAAAAUAUAAUGAAACGUAGAACAUGUAAGCUUUUUGUUGAAAAUAUUUAAAAUAGGUUCUGGCUUUUAUCAUUGAAUCUCUAGAUACAGUAUACCUUUUUUUUUUUGAGAUUUCCAGUGAACUAGUAAGCUGAGGUUUUAGGGGAGUUUUGUUUCUGGUUGUUUAUAUUUGCUUUAUAUUUAUUUUUCAUUCCCUCGUUUAACCGAAGCCUGCUGCGGGGCCGGCAGUGUAGCUGGAGAGUGCCAUUAUGAAGGUGAACAACGCAGACACGGCCCUUAAUCCCUCAGAGAUAAUGAGUGUCAAUUCAGACAGCGAAAAAGUAGAUAAUGACCAUGGUAUACUGUAUUUUGCCUUUAAGCGGGUGCUGUACCUCUGUAAAUCCAACAAGUUAAUUGUUUUAAACCUAGAAUUUAUAUAUUCCUGCGGACACGUUAAGAAAGAGCCUUAUUAGGAUUUGACCGGGCUUAAAUAUUAGGAAAGAAUAAAAUAUACUUAAUUCAUGUAUUAAUUAUGAGAACCUAAAGAAUAAAAAUUUUAGGUUAGAAUAUUUCUUUACCUUUCAAUAUAAAAAAGAUGAAAAAAGGUUAUAAUAGCAUCUUAUUUAUAAUACUUCCUUUUAGCCCUUCAGCGACUUUUAGGUUCUCAGGAAUUUCAUAAUAGAAUGUAAAGGAGACAUUGAUUUAUGCCGCUAACAUAGUGUAAAAUUGCUGACUUAAAAAAAGUUAAAUUUAUUUUAGCAUAUUACAUAGUUGUUAAAUCAAUAUAUUUGAGUCUUUUAGGAAAGAAGUGAACAGAUCUUCUGGUAGUUACUACUGCCGAUGUUACAGUUCCACAGAGUUAGCCCCUCAGACGCCACCAGUGGAUUCUCUUACAGCUCCGUAGUCAGGAGUCCCGCUCAGGUCUCACGGGGCCAUAAUCCCGUCGUCUCCAGGUCUGGGCUGCUUCCGGAGGGGCUGGUCCGGGGAAGAAUCUCUGCUUUUUCUUUUUGCCCAUUCAGGCCAUUAACUAAAUUCAGUUCCUUGCUGUGGCCGUAUCGAGGUCCCUGUCGGCUGAGGGACGUUCCGGCUUCUAGAAGCCAUCGACGUUCCUUGGGCGCGGCCCUGUUUCUCCAUCUUCACAGGCAGCAGUGCUGAGUCGAGACCUUCCCAGCCUUCGGAUUCUCUCCCCUCUUCUGUCGUUUCACCGAUCCAAGCGCGGUUUUGAGGACGCCGAGUGGGUUGGGCCUGCCAGACAGUCCAGGACCAGCUCCCCGUCUCCGGGUCCGUAACCUAGCACAGCUGCUGACUCCCUCUUGCUGUGGCGAGGCCACAAUGCUCUCUCCUUUCUCAGCCUCGAUUUCUCCCCGCUCUGGUCUGGCCUCUGUCUUUGGAGCCCAGUGCUGCCCGCUCAUGGGCCUUCCACACUGUCCAGGUUCUGCUCGCCCCAGGGCACCCGUCUGAACUCCUUAGAAGGCACCAGGAUACAAGCUCCACAUACUCCCCGUGCCACUCCUGUGCCUGACGCCCACGCAGCCAUCAUCCCCGACAUCUUUCCGUUCCCUUUUGCUAUUAUGAUUUUGUUGAGAGAGGCCCAGGGCAUAUCCCGGCUCCCCCAACCUCACCCUCUCUCCUGAGAACCUGUGCUGCCGGUGCCUUCCAGCAGACCCUCGUCACCUCUGCACGGGAGAUGACCAUCAGUGGUCCCUACCACACAGUAUUCACACCCUGUAGAGUCUCGCCCCUUUGGACGUGGGCUCGACCUGAUGACCCCCAGUGAAUGGCGCAGGACCAUAGAGAUAGGGCAUCCUUUCUGGGACCUGCCAACGACCAGAGCGUGACCGUGGAAGCCGCGCUCUCCAGGGACCAGUUGAGGCAGGAGAAAUGUUUCCACGGGUCACACCUCGCCAGGAGGAGCUGCUGUGCAGGAACCGGGCUCACUGCGUGAUGACAAAAGGAACACAUAAUAUUUCAUAUGAGCACAGUGCUAUCAGCAACAGCAAAACAGAUCAUGGAAAUGCUCUCUAAAAAUCCGAGUGGUCAGAUGUUGAUGGGACUGGCUGUCUGUCACAGAAGGUAUGUGGGCGUUUUAGUCGUGUGAUUUUUCCUCAUCUGGCCCCUAAACAAAAGAACUGAACUAAUAAAAGAGGAAGAGGUGCUGGUGAAGUGUCUCCUCUCUGUCGACGUCUGGCACACAUCACCUCCAUCAUUUCCCACCGGUCCAGGCCCACGAUCAGUUCUGCUCAUAGCUGAGAAACGCUGACACAUGCCUUGGAACAGUAACUUGGCACAAGCCACCCAUAUGCAAGGUCUUGCCCCUUGCUUGUGCUCCAGUUGCAAUAAGGGGUGUUGUCAAGCCUUUGACCAAAACUCUGACCUUUCCCUUCUACUUAAUUUCUACGUGACCUGUUUCUCUCUCUGAAUCUCACCCAAUGUUCCCUAACGCCGGACUCCUGGAUGCUUCUGCAUCCUGUCCUGUUCGCCUGCGAACCCUGCCUUUGUGUUGCCUGUGGCUGCUCCCUGCUGAUGAUUAUGUCCCAUGUUCAGCUGCAGCUGCUCCACGUUGGGCUCUUCCCGCCGUCAGUUAUCUGACUGCUUAGGUCUCUAUUUGUGAUAAAACCCAAACAUGCCACAUAUGGAUUCAGAAUUACCCCCAUUUUCCUACUUGGGGAUCCAGACUGUUUUACCUCCUCUUUUCCUUCGGCCAGCCCAGUUUUACUGUCCAGCCUUCCCUGUGUCUCUGGUCCGUUGCUUAUGGGAAGGAAGAAGGCGAACAUGGGCAAAGGGAUGAGAAAUAGCAGCAGUGACAAAUCGGAGCCUUGGAGGGGUCUCUGCUGUGGCACUGUCUUGGAUGGAUCCUUCUUUUCCUCGGUCUCCUUCUGAUUGUACGGAGAAGGGAUCUGUGAAGACUUUUGCUUAACUUGAAGCUCACAGGUAGUGAUUUGGGCAGUUAUUUUGAAUUUAUCCAUAUGUCAGUAGUGUGGUCGUGAGCUUCUUUCUUGUUAAUUCUUAAUUUGCCUUUCUUUUUUCGCUGCUGUAAAAUUGUCCCUCUCCAAAACAGAACACUCUUUUUUUUUUUUUUUCCUCAUAAGCAAAGCACCCUCAUUAAUUUCUCACUUAGUGAUGAUUCAUUAAUCGUGGAAGGGCAUGCGAGCUGCAAUAAAAGCAACUCCUUUAAUUUAAUUUAAUUUAACAAACGUUUAUUGACUGUUUAAUGUGCAGGCCAAAGUGCUAAGCAUGAGACCCAAAGAAACCCAGUUUGGGUGGUAAUGUAAAUUAUUUUUCAUUGGGAUAAGUGUUUAAUAAACUUUUCUGAAUCAGA